CUCUCUAAAGAAGAGUCUGUGCUUGAAUGGUGUAUUGAAGGAGGAGAAAAGUUCCCACAAGCCCCAGUGCUCAGCACUCUGUUUUCAAAGGACAGCUUUGAGAGAAACCAGGAAUCUCCGUACAAGACAAGCACGAGUGUGCGUUUCAAUCAGUGCCCCUAUAUAUAUAUAUCUCACAUCUCUACUCCUCCACAGGGGUUUGUGUUCUGUCUCUUGCUGUCUUUAUUUCCCACACUUUUUUCCAUCUAUCACUGGGUUUAUCAGCGCAGAGGAGUCUCUGAGCCAUGCCAUCAGUCAUUCGCUCUCUGUGUGGCUCUGACUGACCCACUCCAUCUUACUGCACCUGUCUGGCUGCUGUGUUUGAUUGACAGCUGCCCUAACUGUAACUACUCUGCCAGCCUCUCUCUGGGCCUGGUGUGGGCAUAAGCGGGGCAGCUGGAUGAGAGAGACACACAAGCUGUUAGGUGAACAGCAGCCAGUCUCCAGUCAUUAAUAUGUGUUUUUUCCCCUUUACAUCUACCCAAAGGCCGUCCACUCACAACACAUAUCAAAUUCUAUAUUCAGAAUGCAAACAUAUAACUAAAAGCAUAUUUGAAUUUUCUGGCCUACUUGAGAUUUUUUCUGAUGAUAAAUGUUAAAGGUACUCUGACGCCUGUAGCGCUAGCAAAGUGAUGACCAAACGCGUUUUGCGUGUUCGUCUUUGUCUAGUUUAUUUGGUUCGAUGAGGUCCUGUCCCGUCUUAUGUUUGUAUUUGUGUUUUGCCUCCAUGUCAACGUCACUCUGCUGUUGAGGUUGGGAGGAGCCGUUUCAGACUCUGCAUGUUAAUGUUUUAGUUUGUAUUUGCAAAUACUGUAUUUUUUUUCAUUAAAACUGCCUCUAGUGUAAUAAUAUUAUUAACAAUAAUUAUAAGAAUAGGCAGCACUUCCUAAGUUUAGUAAGUUAUGUACAGUAUAAUUUAUUAUUUUCCUCCAGUUGGAUUUUUUUUUUAAUGAUCAUAUGGAAACUGCGCUUGAUAAAGCAUUAUAUUUAGCUGGUUAGGUAUUUAGAUCUAAUUAUUAUGUUCAAUAUUCUUUUUUUAUUAUUAUUAUUAUUUCCUGUUUUUUUUUAAUUAAUCCUGUUCUGACGCUGGUAUAUAAAGUGGUCAUGGUGAACUGCUGAUAUGAAGGAAAAGAGACAUUUCUCUUUUUUUUAUUUUCUUUUUCUCCUCUGUGCAUCUUUCAUGAACUCCAAACACAUUUCUUAAAGCACUAGGACUCUGGACAUUCGGAGACAAAAAUAAGAAGAACAUGAUAUUUUUAUUUGUAAUGGUUUAUGUAUAAUGUGAAGUUUCCUAUCUGUUAAUUCUCCUUUUCUUUUACUGAAUAUAAAGAAAACAGCUAUAUUAUACCCCAACUGUUACUGAACAGAAAGAGCGUGGAUCUUGUUUACUGAUAUUUGUCAUCCUCUCUCUUACGUUUCAUUGGAACAUCACUGGUUUAGACGAAUGCAUUGGUUUGACUAUUGUGUCAAAUUAAAGUACAGUUAUAGUGCACAACACCUAAACCUUAAGAGGAUAGUUCACCCCAAAAAUGAAACUGACAAAACCUAUAUGACUUACUUUCUUCUGUAGAACACAAAUGAAGACAUUUCACAGAUGGUCCAAGCUGCUCUGUUUACAAAAAUAAGAGUGGAUGGGGACCAGGGCUUCUGAAAAUGAAAAUAAAAAUGCAUCAUAAAAGAGAUUCAUUCAGCUGUGCUAUAUUCCUAAGUCCUCUGAAGCCAUAUAAUAGCUUUGUGAGGGAAACAGACUAAAAUGUAGGUCGUUAUUCACUGAAAAUCAUGCUUGAGCACUAUGGUCACCAUUCGCUUUCAUUAUGUGCAAAAGAGCAGCGUGGAUAUUCUGCAAAACGUCUUCUGUGCUUCACAGAAGAAAAAAGUGAAACGGGUUUUGAAAGCUAGCGGCUGGUAAACAAUUCCUUUUAAUCAGAAGACAUGAACUUUCUGAAAUGAUGAAACUGUCUGACUCCAGUGAAGCUCCACUGAAUGGCCAUAUUAGAUGUUUUUGUCUCCAGGAUUGUUUUAGCUCCACACACUGUUUCCCUCUCAAUCAAGCUCACAGUAGUGACAUCACAAUCACAGAAUAGCCACCAUCUGAUGUGACCAUGCUUUCACAUGUAGUAAUACCCACAAUCAUAUAAUUUGAUAGGGACACGUAUGCUGGAGGAAGGACUGGCUCAUUUAACAUACAAGGUCACGUUCUGUCAACUUAUUAUCUUUCGGCAUGGUAACCUCAUGGUCUUUAGAACACAUACUCUGAUGAUGAUGAUGGCCUAUAUUAUGAACAAUAAAUGAUAAGACAAUCAAAGUCAUGUGUGGAGCUCAAAACAAUGUUAAAUGACAUCAAACAAAAAAGUACUUAGAAACUUAUCUUACCAUCUCAACUUGAAAAUCAAGAAAGAUAAUUAUGUAAAUAUAGCAUAGAGUUAUAGAUUUAUAUUUUGUUCAUAACACAGUGUAAUAUAAGUUGUAUAUUUCUUUCUCUCUUUUAUUGAUGUUAUUCAUGCCACAAUAAAAGCAAGAGUUACUGUACUCUUAUGGAAAAAAAAAAGAAAGAAAAAAAAAGCAAGCUGUGGGUUACCACCAUCUGUUCUAAGUUGACGUUUUUCAGUAUUACUGCCAGUCAAGGCUCAAAUAAAAACAGCAACGUGUUCUGUAUCUCUACUGUGUGUCUGUGGCUCCUUUUUCUGCCCUACUGCAACUCACCAACUCCAUAAUUAAACUCUAGCAGUCCAGAACUGCCAAAAAGCUCCACACUGCACACUAAAUACUAUCUGUCUACUGUUAUGUGCCAACACAUGAAGCAAUUACAAGAUUUUUAGGCAAAACAAAGGGAAUUCCCAGUGCUGAACGUCACUGUAUCUGUAUCUGGAAUAAUGUACGUCACACCGGACAGAAGGACACCUGCUGAGGUUGCAAAUAUUUGUAGAAGAAUGUUCAUGAAUUACACAGUAUUGUUAACAAAUCUUUAAGGUUUAUCUUGAUCGCUACCCCUCAAGUAGGUGGUCCAAGUUGUUUUAACAUUAGAAAAUACUUUCAAACCAGACUUUCUAAACCACACAUUUCAAUUAGAAAUAAUAUUUGUGACACAAAUCAAAAAACUGCCCAAUGUUAUCAUACAAUUACAGCACCCAAAGCAAUAAAAAUACCACUUUUAUGUGCACAUAGAGUAUGUCUGGAUUAGAUUUUAGUCAAAAUAACAAGGCUCUGCUGCUGCCCUCAAAGGAGCACAACAGUAGGAUUACAUAAGUAAAAACUGCAUUCAUUUUCUAAAAAAAUGUUUUUUUAUAUAGUCUAAAAAAGACAUGUUUUUUUGCAAAACUUUAAGACUACCAAAGUUAAGCAAAUGUAUCUGCUUUUGUUCAUUAAAAAGUGAAGUACUACAUUACCCACAAUCCUUAAGCGAGCUCUAACAAAG
rnacentral:lncRNA from 1 species